rnacentral:rRNA from 1 species
UCAGGCCUAACACAUGCAAGUCGAACGGUAACAGGCCUUCGGGCGCUGACGAGUGGCGGACGGGUGCGUAACGCGUAGGAAUCUGCCUGUUAGUGGGGGACAACGUGGGGAAACUCACGCUAAUACCGCAUACGCCCUACGGGGGAAAGCGGGGGACCUUCGGGCCUCGCGCUAACAGAUGAGCCUGCGUUGGAUUAGCUAGUUGGUAGGGUAAAGGCCUACCAAGGCGACGAUCCAUAGCUGGUCUGAGAGGACGAUCAGCCACACUGGGACUGAGACACGGCCCAGACUCCUACGGGAGGCAGCAGUGGGGAAUAUUGGACAAUGGGCGCAAGCCUGAUCCAACAGUACCGCGUGUGUGAAGAAGGCCUGAGGGUGUAAAUAAAGGUAAUCGGGAGGAACAUCUACGGGUUAACACCCCGAGUCUGACA